UGAUCUGGGGGUGGUCUGAGGGGUCACUGCACACAGCCACUGAUGGCUGGGGUUAGGCUGGGGGUGACCCUGGUGACCUUGGGGUGCUCCAGGUGUAUCCCUGCCACUCCAGGUGUAAUUCAGGUGUGUCCCUGCCACUCUCAGGUGUGUCCCUGGUGCUCUGAGUGUAGCUCAGGUGUGUCCCUGCCACUCCAGGUGUAGCUCAGGUGUGUCCCUGCUGCUCUGGGUGUAACUCAGGUGUGUCGCUGCCACUCUCAGGUGUGUCCCUGCCCCUCCAGGUGUAGCUCAGGUGUGUCCCUGGUGCUCUGAGUAUAACUCAGGUGUGUCCCUGCCACUCUCAGGUGUGUCCCUGCCACUCCAGGUGUAGCUCAGGUGUAUCCCCGGUGCUCCGGGUGUAACUCAAGUGUGUCCCUGCCCCUCCAGGUGUAACUCAGGUGUGUCCCUGGUGCUCUGGUUGUAACUCAGGUGUGUCCCUGCCACUCCAGGUGUAGCUCAGGUGUAUCCCCGGUGCUCCGGGUGUAACUCAGGUGUGUCCCUGCUGCUCUGGGUGUAACUCAGGUGUGUCCCUGCCGCUCCAGCUGUAACUGAGGUGUGUCCCCCCCGUUCCCCGCAGGUGACCGCUCGUACCCGCUGAAGCCGUGGCUGCUGACGCCGAUCUCGGGCCCGCGGGGAGCGGCCGAGCUGCGCUACAACGCGCUGCACGCGCGCAGCCUGGCCCCGCUGCGCCGCACCCUGGGGCUGCUGCGCCGCC